AUGAACGCUGGCGGCGUGCCUAACACAUGCAAGUCGAACGGAGUUUUAUGGAAUGCGACUUCGGUCAAAUGAAAUAAGACUUAGUGGCGGACGGGUGAGUAACGUGUGAGCAACCUGCCUUUCAGAGGGGGAUAACGCAGAGAAAUCUGCGCUAAUACCGCAUGACAUGUUUGGAUCGCAUGAUCUGAAUAUCAAAGGAGCAAUCCGCUGAAAGAUGGGCUCGCAUCUGAUUAGAUAGUUGGUGAGGUAACGGCUCACCAAGUCAACGAUCAGUAGCCGGACUGAGAGGUUGAACGGCCACAUUGGAACUGAGAUACGGUCCAGACUCCUACGGGAGGCAGCAGUGGGGAAUAUUGGGCAAUGGGCGAAAGCCUGACCCAGCAACGCCGCGUGAGGGAAGAAGGUCUUCGGAUUGUAAACCUUUGUCUUAUGGGACGAUAAUGACGGUACCAUAGGAGGAAGCCACGACUAACUACGUG
rnacentral:rRNA from 1 species